rnacentral:rRNA from 1 species
AGAGUUUGAUCAUGGCUCAGGACGAACGCUGGCGGCGUGCUUAACACAUGCAAGUGGUGCGACGAACCAGGGCUUGCCCUGGGGCAAAGCCGCGAACGGGUGAGUAACACGUGGGUAAUCUGCCCCGAUGACCGGGACAACCCGAGGAAACUCGGGCUAAUACCGGAUGUGGUGCCUGGACACAAGUCCUUGCACUAAAGGAAGCUUCGGCCUCCGCAUUGGGAGGUGCCCGCGGCCCAUUAGCUUGUUGGUGGGGUAACGGCCUACCAAGGCAACGAUGGGUAGCUGGUCUGAGAGGACGAUCAGCCACACUGGGACUGAGACACGGCCCAGACUCCUACGGGAGGCAGCAGUGGGGAAUCUUGCGCAAUGCGCGAAAGCGUGACGCAGCAACGCCGCGUGGGGGAAGACGGCCUUCGGGUUGUAAACCCCUUUCAGGAGGGACGAAGGUUCGCCGGUGAAUAGCCGUGCGGAUUGACGGUACCUCCACAAGAAGCUCCGGCUAACUACGUGCCAGCAGCCGCGGUAAUACGUAGGGAGCAAGCGUUGUCCGGAAUCAUUGGGCGUAAAGCGCGCGUAGGUGGCUUCGUAAGUCCGUUGUGAAAGUCAAAGGCUCAACCUUUGAAAGCCGAUGGAUACUGCGGAGCUAGAGUACGGAAGAGGCGAGUGGAAUUCCUGGUGUAGCGGUGGAAUGCGCAGAUAUCAGGAGGAACACCAAUAGCGAAGGCAGCUCGCUGGGACGUUACUGACACUGAGGCGCGAAAGCGUGGGGAGCGAACAGGAUUAGAUACCCUAGUAGUCC